GCAGCUUACUUAAAAUGGUCUUUGUUUGG
rnacentral:piRNA from 1 species